UUGGCGGGGGGGGGGGGCAGGGUUAAAAAAACUUUUUUUAUCAGUCAGAGGAUAAUGCAAGUGUUUAACAGAUGCUUCACUAUUAAAAUAUUUUCCCCCCAAGUCUCAAAUAUUGAAGAAUCUCUAACCAGGGACACCAGUCCCUACGAAGACCUUGGGCGAUUUUGAAGUGCGGGCACCUCGAUUCCCCGAAUCUGUAGUGUGGCUGGUAUCGGUGUUCCCCUGGUUUAACUAGCCUGUUUGAAGGCACAGAUCAUUCAUGGGGAUGUAUAACCGAAACCAGUCCUCUCCACCGCCUGGGGAUCUUCACUUUCGCAGUCUACGACUGCCUGUGACUCCAGAAAGACAAACUGCAGAUUGGCCAAGAUGGGGAAAUUGAGGCAGAGAAGCCAAGACAUGUGCUAAAGGUCAUGCAGGCUAUGAAUGGAGCUGGAAUGUGAACGCAGGCCAUAUGACCCCAGAGCCCAUGUUCUUGAACCCUUAGAAAGACAGCAGCAACACACCUGGUGCAGCAGCUGCUUAGUUGGAGUGGCUGACAAGAGAUCCUGGCAAAUGGGUGUUUCUUCCCAGAAAGGGAUUUUUCUCCAUGACUGCAGUUGAAUUGCAGAGUUGUAGAGACAUCCAGGUUCUUGUUAGUGUGGACGAACUAUCCAUGAAGAUCUUAAAUGCAGGAGUCUAUGAGAACACCAAUUAAUCAAUUGUCAAAUAUUUGAGUAUCUAUU
rnacentral:lncRNA from 1 species